rnacentral:rRNA from 1 species
UACCGCGGUCUCAAGCGUUGUUCGGAUUCAUUGGGCGUAAAGGGUGUGUAGGUGGCGCCGUACGUCGGGUGUGAAAUUUCGGAGCUUAACUCCGAAACUGCAUUCGAUACUGCGGUGCUUGAGGACUGGAGAGGAGACUGGAAUUCAUGGUGUAGCAGUGAAAUGCGUAGAGAUCAUGAGGAAGACCAGUGGCGAAGGCGGGUCUCUGGACAGUUCCUGACACUGAGACACGAAGGCCAGGGGAGCAAACGGG